GAUGAACGCUGGCGGCGUGCCUAAUACAUGCAAGUCGAGCGAACGGACGAGAAGCUUGCUUCUCUGAUGUUAGCGGCGGACGGGUGAGUAACACGUGGAUAACCUACCUAUAAGACUGGGAUAACUUCGGGAAACCGUAGCUAAUACCGGAUAAUAUUUUGAACCGCAUGGUUCAAAAGUGAAAGACGGUCUUGCUGUCACUUAUAGAUGGAUCCGCGCUGCAUUAGCUAGUUGGUAAGGUAACGGCUUACCAAGGCAACGAUGCAUAGCCGACCUGUGAGGGGGAUAGGCCACACGGGAAGUGGGACACGGUCCAGACUCCUACGGGAGGCAGCAGUAGGGAAUCUUCCGCAAUGGGCGAAAGCCUGACGGAGCAACGCCGCGUGAGUGAUGAAGGUCUUCGGAGCGUAAAACUCUGUUAUUAGGGAAGAACAUAUGUGUAAGUAACUGUGCACAUCUUGACGGUACCUAAUCAGAAAGCCACGGCUAACUACGUG
rnacentral:rRNA from 1 species